AUAAACAAACAUGAUGAAUUAUUUAUUCCCUUUUUAGGAUUCUAUUUGGAUUGUUGAGAGAAUUGGGAGUAUUUGCUGAUAUACUCUUCUCAUGGUUACCAUUCUAUUACGGAGCAAAGCUUGGCGCCUUCCUGUAUUUGUUGCAUUCCCGGACAAAAGGAGCAACAUUUGUCUAUGAGACAUUCCUGGCGCCUUUUAUCGCAGAGCAUGAGUCUGAGAUUGAUCAGUCUUUGUUUGAGUUUAGAGCUAGGGCCGCAAAUUGGGGAUUGAUAGCUUGGCAGAUGGCUGUUAGCUACUUGCAGACAAGUGUUCCUGAGAUGAAGAAAUAUGCUAUUUCAUUGAUGCCAACAAUGAAUUCUA